UACAGAGGGUGCGAGCGUUAAUCGGAUUUACUGGGCGUAAAGCGUGCGUAGGCGGCUCUUUAAGUCCGAUGUGAAAUCCCCGGGCUUAACUUGGGAAUUGCAUUCGAUACUGGGGAGCUUGAGUGUGGCAGAGGAGGGUAGAAUUCCGGGUGUAGCGGUGAAAUGCGUAGAGAUCUGGAGGAAUACCGAUGGCGAAGGCAGCCAUCUGGCCUAAUACUGACGCUGAGGUACGAAAGCAUGGGGAGCAAACAGG
rnacentral:misc_RNA from 1 species